UACAGUCGCCAUUAAUGCUGUGUAGCUUUUGAUUCAGACCAUUUUGUGGAGAGAGGUGAGGCAGCGAAUGCAGUAGCGACACGAGUACUACGUAUGUGUUGUAAUAAAAAUGUCGUAACCCGUAGCCUACUAGCCUACUACUGUCUACUGACGCCUGACGGUGGUGGUUCUGACAACAUCCCUCUCUCGCCCUGAAAAAGAAGACCAUUUUCAUUUCUCGCCAGUCGAGUGGGAUGCCCACCUUUUGUUUUGAAACAAAUCCGAAAAGCUAUGGUAUUGGUCGUCAUUGUCCACUCACUUUUCAGUCUCCGCCAUUGCUCAGUCAUCUGCCAACCGCUAAUCAUUACUCCGUACUUUGUAUUUAUUGGCGUUUUCUUGAAGGGAUUGUGUUUGAAGAAAUGCGCAGCAGAACCCAAGUAUGAAGUGCUAGUCUGGAAGACCAUGCAUGGAGUAUUGGAGGAAGUGGGGGAAGAAUAGAGAUAUGAAUCUCUGAGGUAAUGGAAAGACCCCAAGAAUGAUUCGCUUCCUUAUUGGCUAAUUGUCGCCCAUUCAUAACGUCCUGGCAGAGGCAAAUCGUUCACAAUGUCAAAGUUAUA